GUGAGCAAUCUGCCCCUGACUCUGGGAUAAGCGCUGGAAACGGCGUCUAAUACCGGAUACGAGCUGUGAAGGCAUCUUCAACAGCUGGAAAGAACUUCGGUCAGGGAUGAGCUCGCGGCCUAUCAGCUAGUUGGUGAGGUAAUGGCUCACCAAGGCGUCGACGGGUAGCCGGCCUGAGAGGGUGACCGGCCACACUGGGACUGAGACACGGCCCAGACUCCUACGGGAGGCAGCAGUGGGGAAUAUUGCACAAUGGGCGCAAGCCUGAUGCAGCAACGCCGCGUGAGGGACGACGGCCUUCGGGUUGUAAACCUCUUUUAGCAGGGAAGAAGCGAAAGUGACGGUACCUGCAGAAAAAGCACCGGCUAACUACGUGCCAGCAGCCGCGGUAAUACGUAGGGUGCAAGCGUUAUCCGGAAUUAUUGGGCGUAAAGAGCUCGUAGGCGGUUUGUCGCGUCUGCUGUGAAACCCCGAGGCUCAACCUCGGGCCUGCAGUGGGUACGGGCAGACUAGAGUGCGGUAGGGGAGAUUGGAAUUCCUGGUGUAGCGGUGGAAUGCGCAGAUAUCAGGAGGAACACCGAUGGCGAAGGCAGAUCUCUGGGCCGUAACUGACGCUGAGGAGCGAAAGGGUGGGGAGCAAACAGGCUUA
rnacentral:rRNA from 1 species